GCUUGGAAUGAGCAGCAGCGAGCCAAAAUACAGCUAAUCCCUUCGAAAUUGUCGCACAUUUUCAAGUUAAAACCCAAACAAACAGGGAUGUGUGUUGUCAGAAGUGGUCUAUAACCAUUUUGGAGCAGAAGAAGAAGAAGAAGAAGAAGAAGAAGAGACUCCUCGAGCUCUGAUUUUGCAGAUACGGAUCUAUCACUUCAGGAAACCGAGGAUCUCACAGCAGAUCUCGGCAGCAGGAGAUAAAAGAAACCUCUGGUAACCACCUGUCAGCUCUGACUCACACAAAGAGGAUUAAGGACUGCUCGGCUCCACACCUCAGAACUAAAGAAAACUGAAAGAAUGACUGAGUCAAGUCUGAGAGCAGAAAAAGAUGUUUCCUAAUGCCAGCAGAGAUUUGGAUCUGUAACCACACGACUCUGCCUGGACUUCGCCCUUCAAACGGAGCUCGCAGAGUGAAAAAACAAACGGGCUCUGAUCAAAACGGACGUCUUCAGAAGAUCUCACCUCUAAAUGACCUGAACAGCUUCCUCACCUCUAAAAUUGAAACAUUUAUGUUUAAACUCCAAUCAGCUUUAUUUUUUUCCUGCUUAUAUUUAAAAUUUAAUGUUAUUUUUUAUAGAUUCUGACUGAUUUCAGGAAACGAGUCUGAGUGGUCCUGCCCGACAGUUCCGAGCCAAACGGCACGCCAGGUUCCAGCUUCUGCUUUCACAGUGAAAACACUGGGAUGUCUUAUAUAAUGCUGAGCGAGCUGCCAGGUGAAUUAGAGGCCAGCACUUGACGAGGAAAAUGUUUACGGAGCGACGCACCCGCCCUCCCGACAGAAACCCUUUCCCACGUUGGCCCCCGCAGAAAGAGACGUCCUCAGCAGAAGAUCUGGAGCGUCGCCACGGUCAGGCGGGGUCACAACUCGGGUCGGCUUAAUUCAGAGGCACGCUUCUAUUUUUUUAUUUUUAUUUUUUCAAAUGUAUUUUGUGUGUGUGUGUGUGUGUGUUUGCAUGCCCUCUUUUCACAUGCUCCGAGUCGAGUGUUGUGCACAUGAAAGGAAACACGCAGCGAUCUCAGCUGUGUUGUAGCAGGAGGUCUGUUUGACUCGCACAGUGCAGGAAGAAAAGAUUGAUCCGAUACCCACAGCGGUGACAAUGUUUGCUCUGCCGGAAUGAGAAACACGGUCAGGACAGACGAGAGGGAGAGGAGGGAAACAAAACUCAUUCAAUCUGGAAGGCUCGUGCUCACGCUCUGGACUGUUUGGCAGAAAAGACUCAAUUUUAAUAGGAUUAAUUCAUUUUAGCUAAAGAGCUCCGCUCCGUCUGUUUCAGGUUAGUGGACCUCAUUCAGUAAACUGUCCCGUC